GAAAGUCCGAGCCAGGGCGCAAGGGAGUUCGCCCAGAGAUCUGGAAGGCCACGCCUCCUCGCACCUACCCUCUCAGCAUUGCAGCUGGGGACAGAGCUCAGGUAGGACUGCGCUGGCCACCUCUGCCAGCCGCCGCAGGGGCGAGACCCCGAGGGGCUGGCCUGGAUGGGACUCGGGCGGGAUGCUGGCGCCGGGAUCCUGACUGUCAGAAGCCACGCGUCCUCUCUGGGUCACUUCUCUUACCUAUGUGCAAGAUCUUGCAAAAGGGCUGCCUCACCUGCCUUGUCCACUCUCCAGGCAGGAGGAACACGUGUGACCUGGGGUGGCUAGCCUGAGUCUGAGUCCCUGAAGCUCUGGUUUUCACCAGAUACCUUAGAUAGAGGAAGAGACCCUCCACUUACAGUAUUGCAGUUGUCUGGUUGAAGUUGUUUUUAGUUGUUUGUUUUCAUGCAAAGAUUGUCAACCACCAAAGCUGUGGCAUGCAUUAAUAGCAAACAUUGAAGUGUGCUUAUAAAAUGCCCUCAAAAACUUGUAUCAUGUGUAGUUAGUAGGAUGUGUACAUUUGUCUGUAAGUUUCUUAUUUCUGAAGUAGACCACAUCACGUGCUUCUCAUUUUCCCAAAGUGUCUGUCUUUGGAGUCAAGUAACUUCUGCCUAAGAGUGUUUGGGCUAUAUUUAAGAGACAAUUCGUACUGUCCAUUCUCCCCAAAUUCUCAAAAAAGCUGCAUUGAAAAAGUUCUGUGGCCUGGACCAGUUACUGCCUUGUUUUGAAAUAGCUCCAUUGUGGUGGUGCUCUUAAAGCUCAUGGUUGGUCUUGUCUUAAAGCACUGUCAAAGUAUUCUGUUUCUCCUUAUUCUUUUUCCUUUCUUGUGAGGGACAGAUACCCCUUUUCAUUCUCAGACUAAGUCAGAGCAGGCUAAAUUCGGGUUUCAAUGUCAUUGCACUGGUAUGCACUGGUAUGGUGCAUUUUGUAAGCUUUCCUACUUUUAAACUCGGAGUCUGGUCCCUUAACCUGUCAAAGAGAUGAGAACCGAAGGGCUGCCUGGAAUGGCUUUUUGGCCGAGACUACAGCUGCACUUGUACAUAGAGAACAGAAUCCAGGCCAGGAGGGAAAUAGAAUUUAUAAAGCUUCGAGCAUUGAUCUAGUCAUUCAUCUAUUUGUAUUGACUAGCCGCUAACAGUAUGUCUGAUAAUGUGCUGUGUUCGGCGAAGAUAGUAGUGAACAAUACAGAAAGUUCUGGACUGGUGGUGGGUGGAGAUCAAUCCUCAUGCAGAUGCAUAAACAGGAGUGAGAAAGGUAGCGAGGAAAAAACGAAGCAAGUGGAGGAGAGAAGGGGCUGUUGAGUACAGAUCCAAAUUAAGUGAGGAACUGGAUUCCACAGUUAUGGGGGGUAUGGUGUAGUUGAGUACAAAGGCUCUAAGGUUGAAAUACAUUUGUUAUCACUGGAGUAAUAAAGAUAUAGGGCUUAGUAGUCUGGAGAAGGCGUAUUCAGUGACUUGUUACAUUUAUGAUAGUUUGUGCUUAUUGAUCACCAACUUAGUUAGCUUUGGGAGGAGAAUCUAGGGUCAGUACACAUGUAAAGGUACUUCCAUGCUCAAUAAAGAGCAACAUUUAGUCAGUUAAUGUCAUGUAUGUUGCCCUUUGUUUUUGUUAGAUUGGAUUUGCCCAAUAGUGUCAGUAUUUAGUGAAUAUGUCUCUCCUCUGUACCAAAUUUACUUUUCAUUUUCUUUAUCAUUAUAGUAAAAUGUACCUAAUAAAAUAUUUUAGUUGGGCAGUAGGAGGCAUCUCUGACAACAACAACAACAACAACAACAAGAAAAACAACAACAAUUUCAAGACUUCAGUAAUGCAAAUGAUGUUCAUGUUGUUGAAUAGCUAUCAUUGCUGUUUGUCUUCAGUACUUUCUCAUUUUCCUGGAUGAACUCUGUAACAUAUUAAAUACUAUCUCCUCAUUGCUAACUCUCUUAAGCCCCUGGCAACAAUGGAGCUUCUUUCUGUGUCUAUGACUCUGACUAUUGUGGACAUAUCAUAUGAGUGUACUCACACAGCAUUCGUUCUUUUGUGACUGGCUUAUUUAACUUAGGACAAUGUCCCUACGUUUCAAUUGUUAUCGCAUAUGUCAGAAUGCCCUUCCUUUAAAAGCUGAAUAUAAUAAUCACUGUAUAAAUGUAUCAGUUUUUAUGUAUUUGUUUACCUGUGGAUGCUUGAAUUGUUUACUUUUUUGGCUACUACUGUAAAUGAUACAGCUGUGUGCACAAACAUCUGUUUACCUUACUUUCAUUUCUCUUGGUUAUAUAUCCUUAAAUGAAGCUGAUUAAAUGAAAAUUUGGAAUAGUUU
rnacentral:lncRNA from 1 species